CACGAGUGCCGCCUGGUUUUGAUCACCCCCCUGUGGAGAUCCAGACCAUGGUUCCCUCGUCUGUUGGAGUUGUCAAUAGACUAUCCCCGGUUGAUCCCGUGCUUCCAGGGCCUCCUUCUGGAUCCGGAUGGGAACUCUCACGAUCUUGUGCGUCAACGACAGUUGCCUCUUGUGGCGUGGCUCCUUUCAGGGGAACCUGGGCUGUCCCAAAUGUUCCGCGAUCAACUCUCCUGCUCCUCGAUAAC